rnacentral:misc_RNA from 1 species
UAGCUCCGCUCUCAAAUUGUUUGACCUAAAUGCAUUGCACUGUUGGUCUUUUCGUGAAGUCCAUGGGGGAGACAAAUCUGGAGACUCUUGAUAACCCGUACAAAAUGAACCAUAACCGCCAAACUUGGCCCCCAAAUUAUCUGCUGAAACAUCACCUUCAAAAUAUUUCCAAAAGCACCCAAGACCCUGAAGUUUCUUAUCUAUAUCAGACAUAGCUGUUAUAGGGUACAUGUUCGCAUCAUAAUCACCAUUAUUGUAGUUAUGGUUAGAACAAGAAUCCCUUUCUUCAAGUACGC